rnacentral:tRNA from 1 species
GGAUAUAGCUCAGUGGUAGAGGGCAUGCCUAGCAUGCACGAGGUCCUGGGUUCAAUCCCCAGUACCUCCA